rnacentral:misc_RNA from 1 species
AAGUCGUAACAAGGUUUCCGUAGGUGAACCUGCGGAAGGAUCAUUACUGAAUAAAGCGUGGUCGGGGGUUGUCGCUGGCAUCCUCGUGAUGCAUGUGCACACCUCUCUGCCACUCUGUCAUUCAUUCACCUUCCACCUGUGCAUUCUCUUGUAGGCCAGAUUGCCAUUUUUCGCCUUUGUGUGUCUUGAGAUUUGCUGCUGCAGUGACUCAGCUCCUCUCGUCUGCAUCUGGUCUAUGCUCUUUUUACCCAAACCCCAUGUUUUUGUUUUGUAUAAGUAUGGACAUUAGCUUUUGUUUAAAAGCAUGUGUAUGCACAACUUUCAACAACGGAUCUCUUGGCUCUC